rnacentral:rRNA from 1 species
UGGCGGCAUUGCCUUACACAUGCAAGUCGAACGGUAACAGGUCUUCGGACGCUGACGAGUGGCGAACGGGUGAGUAAUACAUCGGAACGUGCCCAGUCGUGGGGGAUAACUACUCGAAAGAGUAGCUAAUACCGCAUNCGAUCUGAGGAUGAAAGCGGGGGACCUUCGGGCCUCGCUGCGAUUGGAGCGGCCGAUGGCAGAUUAGGUAGUUGGUGGGAUAAAAGCUUACCAAGCCGACGAUCUGUAGCUGGUCUGAGAGGACGACCAGCCACACUGGGACUGAGACACGGCCCAGACUCCUACGGGAGGCAGCAGUGGGGAAUUUUGGACAAUGGGCGAAAGCCUGAUCCAGCAAUGCCGCGUGCAGGAUGAAGGCCUUCGGGUUGUAAACUGCUUUUGUACGGAACGAAAAAGCUUCUCCUAAUACGAGAGGCCCAUUGACGGUACCGUAAGAAUAAGCCCGGCUAACUACGUGCCAGCAGCCGCGGUAAUACCGUAGGGUGCGAGCGUUAAUCGGAAUUACUGGGGCGUAAAAGCGUGCGCAGGCGGUUAUGUAAGACAGAUGUGAAAUCCCCGGGCUCAACCUGGGAACUGCAUUUGUGACUGCAUGGCUAGAGUACGGUAGAGGGGGAUGGAAUUCCGCGUGUAGCAGUGAAAUGCGUAGAUAUGCGGAGGAACACCGAUGGCGAAGGCAA